rnacentral:rRNA from 1 species
GACGAACGCUGGCGGCGUGCUUAACACGUGCAAGUCGAACGGUGAAGGGACCAGCUUGCUGGUUCUGGAUGAGUGGCGAACGGGUGAGUAACACGUGAGUAACCUGCCCCCUUCUUCUGGAUAACCGCAUGAAAGUGUGGCUAAUACGGGAUAUUCUGGGUCUGUCGCAUGGCGGGCCCGGGAAAGAUAUUGCUUCGGUGGGGGAUGGGCUCGCGGCCUAUCAGCUUGUUGGUGGGGUGACGGCCUACCAAGGCGGUGACGGGUAGCCGGCCUGAGAGGGUGGACGGUCACACUGGGACUGAGACACGGCCCAGACUCCUACGGGAGGCAGCAGUGGGGAAUAUUGCACAAUGGGCGCAAGCCUGAUGCAGCGACGCCGCGUGAGGGAUGGAGGCCUUCGGGUUGUAAACCUCUUUCGCCAGUGAAGCAGGCCUGCUCCUUGUGGGUGGGUUGACGGUAGCUGGAUAAGAAGCGCCGGCUAACUACGUG